rnacentral:rRNA from 1 species
UACAGAGGGUGCGAGCGUUAAUCGGAAUUACUGGGCGUAAAGCGUGCGCAGGCGGUGAUGUAAGACAGAUGUGAAAUCCCCGGGCUCAACCUGGGAACUGCAUUUGUGACUGCAUCGCUGGAGUGCGGCAGAGGGGGAUGGAAUUCCGCGUGUAGCAGUGAAAUGCGUAGAUAUGCGGAGGAACACCGAUGGCGAAGGCAAUCCCCUGGGCCUGCACUGACGCUCAUGCACGAAAGAGUGGGGAGCAAACAGG